rnacentral:rRNA from 1 species
AGCGGCAGCGGAAAGAAGCUUGCUUCUUUGCCGGCGAGCGGCGGACGGGUGAGUAAUGUCUGGGGAUCUGCCCGAUGGAGGGGGAUAACCACUGGAAACGGUGGCUAAUACCGCAUAACGUCGCAAGACCAAAGUGGGGGACCUUCGGGCCUCACGCCAUAGGAUGAACCCAGAUGGGAUUAGCUAGUAGGUGGGGUAAAGGCUCACCUAGGCGACGAUCUCUAGCUGGUCUGAGAGGAUGACCAGCCACACUGGAACUGAGACACGGUCCAGACUCCUACGGGAGGCAGCAGUGGGGAAUAUUGCACAAUGGGGGAAACCCUGAUGCAGCCAUGCCGCGUGUAUGAAGAAGGCCUUCGGGUUGUAAAGUACUUUCAGCGGGGAGGAAGGCUGGUGGCUUAAUACGCCAUCAGAUUGACGUUACCCGCAGAAGAAGCACCGGCUAACUCCGUG